UAUAAAAAAAUACGCCUACAACGUUUCGUGUAUGCGAAACGGUCGAGCGCCUCAGCGCAGGAAUAGUCAUCGGAUCUGCUCGUAAAAAGCGCUAAUAUUCAUAUUACAAGACUCGCUGGCAGACGAAAAUAAAAUUUAAAAAAUCCCCUUGCGGUGACGCGCUUUUAAGCUUUUCGCUUCUGCAUAUUUGGUUUGAAAAAUUCACUCU